UCUACUUUACUAUAUGGGUUGUCUGUGAAUCUGUCUGUUUAAAAUAUAAAAGUAUUGGGGAGUUUGAAUAACCUUUGCAAACAUUUAUUAUUUUGUUAGUGUUUUAUUUUAUUUAUAUUUUUAAUGUAAUUAAAUCUGGAAAAGUCUAAAAAAAAUUGUUGCCUGACUUUUGCUUUAAACUAACAUAUAUUUUUUUUUUUCUUUACAGAUGUUAUCAUACUUUAGUUGAGGACUAAAGGAUGCAUGGAUAAUUCCUCAAACUGAAUCUAGUGUUUUAUUGUUUUAUAUUUAUUGUUCCAAACACAUUUUCAUUGUCUAUCUGUGACAGAAUUGACACAUGGUGGGGAAAAAGGGGAUGUUAUGAAUUUUGCACAUGUCUGUUUAAUAUUUCUGCCCAGUGGAUUUCAUUAGUUUGUUUGUUAAAUCAGAAAACAAAUGUUGUAAAUCGAAAAUUACAACUCUCUGACUAAAUUUACAUAGUACAGUUGUAUUAUAAAUAAUAUAUAUCCAUAUAUUCCAAUAAAAACUACCCCUUUCCACAAAAAAAUCUAUGUCCGUGAAGUUUUCAUGUCACAUUUUCAUCUUAAUAUUUUCAAAUUGUGGCUUGUUCAGGUGCUACUUCUACUGUAUUAUUACCUUCUUUAAUGUGCAUGGAAGCCAGUGUAAAAACAGUAAAGAACAACAAACUGCAUGUCAGGUAAACAGGGAAGUCAAAAACAAUCUAUGUAUACAUAUAAUUUCAGAUUAGUUUUCCCUUGCCUUUAUCCAAGGCCCCUUUUUAAACUACACCAACAUAAGAAGUUUUAGUAUUGAUUAGCAAUUCAAAUCCAUUACUGGUAAAGGUCACAUUUGUGUAACAUUUGUAUAUAUAUUUUUGUUUUUCAGUGUUCAGCUGAUGAAAAGACAAUGGUUUGAAGCGACAUAAUGAAAUGACAAGGAACCACAUUUUCCCUAUGCUGUUUGUGCAACCAAGAUCCUGGCUCUCUUGCCGAAGCUCCAAGGUGACUGGCUUUGUCCACUUUUGGAUUGCUGGAACUGCUGACUCCCGCCCAAGUAUGUGAACUCGCGCUGAGAUCUAGAGGGCUGAACCACAUGAAUCAGAUACACACUGUAUUCGAACAACUGGACAUCAGAGAGGCUUUCUGGAAUAUGGAAGCGUUUCUUACCGCUCUGGUCAAAGCUU